GCGAAAUGCGAUAAGUAGUGUGAAUUGCAGAAUUCAGUGAAUCAUCGAAUCUUUGAACGCACAUUGCGCCCCUUGGUAUUCCAUGGGGCAUGCCUGUUCGAGCGUCAUUUGUACCCUCAAGCUCUGCUUGGUGUUGGGUGUUUGUCCCCGUCUCCGCGCGUGGACUCGCCCCAAAGUGAUUGGCAGCCGGCGUACUGGUCCCGGAGCGCAGCACAUGUCGCGCAAACGAGUGCCUUGGUACGGCGGCGUCCAUAAGCCCCUCUCUCACGCUCUUGACCUCGGAUCAGGUAGGGAUACCCGCUGAACUUAAGC
rnacentral:misc_RNA from 1 species